rnacentral:rRNA from 1 species
UACGAAGGGGGCUAGCGUUGCUCGGAAUCACUGGGCGUAAAGGGUGCGUAGGCGGGUCUUUAAGUCAGGGGUGAAAUCCUGGAGCUCAACUCCAGAACUGCCUUUGAUACUGAGGAUCUUGAGUAUGGGAGAGGUGAGUGGAACUGCGAGUGUAGAGGUGAAAUUCGUAGAUAUUCGCAAGAACACCAGUGGCGAAGGCGGACUCACUGGCCCAUUACUGACGCUGAGGCACGAAAGCGUGGGAGCAACAGGG